rnacentral:rRNA from 1 species
CGUAGGGCGCAAGCGUUGUCCGGAAUUAUUGGGCGUAAAGAGCUCGCAGGCGGUUUGUCGCGUCUGCUGUGAAAGCCCGGGGCUCAACCCCGGGUCUGCAGUGGGUACGGGCAGACUAGAGUGCAGUAGGGGAGACUGGAAUUCCUGGUGUAGCGGUGAAAUGCGCAGAUAUCAGGAGGAACACCGAUGGCGAAGGCAGGUCUCUGGGCUGUAACUGACGCUGAGGAGCGAAAGCAUGGGGAGCGAACAGGAUUAGAUACCCUGGUAGUCCAUGCCGUAAACGUUGGGCACUAGGUGUGGGGGACAUUCCACGUUUUCCGCGCCGUAGCUAACGCAUUAAGUGCCCGCCUGGGGAGUACGGCCGCAAGGCUA